rnacentral:rRNA from 1 species
AGUCGAACGGAAAGGCCCUUCGGGGUACUCGAGUGGCGAACGGGUGAGUAACACGUGGGUGAUCUGCCCUGCACUUUGGGAUAAGCCUGGGAAACUGGGUCUAAUACCGAAUAUGACCGCGCACUUCCUGGUGUGUGGUGGAAAGCUUUUGCGGUGUGGGAUGGGCCCGCGGCCUAUCAGCUUGUUGGUGGGGUAAUGGCCUACCAAGGCGACGACGGGUAGCCGGCCUGAGAGGGUGACCGGCCACACUGGGACUGAGAUACGGCCCAGACUCCUACGGGAGGCAGCAGUGGGGAAUAUUGCACAAUGGGCGCAAGCCUGAUGCAGCGACGCCGCGUGAGGGAUGACGGCCUUCGGGUUGUAAACCUCUUUCAAUAGGGACGAAGCGCAAGUGACGGUACCUAUAGAAGAAGGACCGGCCAACUACGUGCCAGCAGCCGCGGUAAUACGUAGGGUCCGAGCGUUGUCCGGAAUUACUGGGCGUAAAGAGCUCGUAGGUGGUUUGUCGCGUUGUUCGUGAAAACUCACAGCUUAACUGUGGGCGUGCGGGCGAUACGGGCAGACUAGAGUACUGCAGGGGAGACUGGAAUUCCUGGUGUAGCGGUGGAAUGCGCAGAUAUCAGGAGGAACACCGGUGGCGAAGGCGGGUCUCUGGGCAGUAACUGACGCUGAGGAGCGAAAGCGUGGGGAGC